AAUUCUGCAAGGAAAAGACAGCACCGCUCAUUGGUUGCAAGCAUUCCAGGGGAGGAAACAGUACGGGUGCAAGACUCAUCUCGGCACACACCCCGUGCACCCCAGAGGAGCAAGGCUCCUAAAGAGGCAGGGGCUGCCAGUGGGACCUUCUGGACGUGCUCCCAAGGGAGGUAACCCAGGCCCAGCCGAGCCAGCCUGCUCAUCUGGCACUGAGCAGGAGAGGAACGUGUCUGGGGAGAACGAGGCCCAUGGCGCCCAGGGGAGGAGUGCAUGUGGCCUGAACCACGUGGCCCGCCUUGGCUCAGGCUGGGUUCUUGCAGUGUGACAGGAGAGGUCUGCCUUCUCCUUCAGGCCACAGGAGCCUCCUUCAGAGGCAGGAUGUGGCUCCCCUCCUGCCGGUGAACUCUGCUGAUUAACUACGGGACAGUAGCUGUGGGCAGAGUGUGGGGCUGCUUGCCAUCUCCUGCCCGCCAGCCCCACUGGGCAGGCUCUGCGCCCCCACCCCCCACCCUCUUGCCCUGGGUGCUGGCCUGCCACAGGAAGGGCCACGUCUCAUCUGUUUCUCUGGCUCCACCCGGUCUUCUGCGCCCGUAGACAAUACGAGCCUGCCGACCUUAUUUAUUCUUGAAAUUGCUUCCAACUCAACCCUCUUGUGGAGGCGCUUCUUGGACACUGCCUACACUCCCCAAUUAGCACACCUACCCUGAAAUGCCUAGCUGGCAGUGCUAGGGUCUGUGGGUUGUUCUCCGCCCCUGCAGUGAAGCAUGUGAUCUUCUACGGCACCAGAGAUCACUGGGCAAAGUUGCAAGGACAGUGCUAAAUGCUGGGACCCACCCCAGGCAUCCCAGGAGCAUCCCUGUGGAGCCGGGGACAGAGGGAGGCUUUGACGCCUGGAUGCCCAGCUUGGGCUGGGGUGGCACAGGAGAGGUUCGGGAGCACAGAGCCAAAGCCACAACAGAGUGGGGAUCCAGGCCUGUAUCAGCAAGGAUGGGAAAACUGAAAUUGGAUGGUGACAGCCAGCAUGUUUUAAACAAACACCACCAAUAAUGACACCGAUAAUGA